GCGGUCGUGGCGGAAUUGGUAGACGCGCUAGAUUCAGGUUCUAGUGGAUGUAUUUCUGUGAGAGUUCGAGUCUCUCCGACCGCACCA
rnacentral:tRNA from 3 species